CUGUCUACAGCCUGUACAGAUGAGGCACAAUUCCAAAAUAUGAUAGUUUGGCUUGAGGACCAGAAGGUGCGACACUACAAAAUAGAAGACAGAGCAAAUCUACGUAACAUUCAGAGUGCAGACUGGCCAACAGCAUUCAAACAGUAUUUAGAGGAGCUAGCAUGUCCUGUUAACCAUGGAGACAAAAGUGCUGUGAUGGACUGGCUGCUGGGUUAUGCUGUGAGGCUGGAGUAUGGUGAUAAUGUGGAAAAGUACAGACAAGUGAAGGCAGCCAGUGUUCAAAAGACUCCCAUGCCAGCACCCAGCGCAGAUGUCCUGGGCAGCAUAGAUCGUAGGUGUUUUUGCCACUUU